rnacentral:rRNA from 1 species
AGUAACGUGUGGGCAACCUGCCCUGCACUGGGGAAUAAUCAUUGGAAACGAUGACUAAUACCGCAUACGGUUCCUGGGAGGCAUCUUCUGGGAAAGAAAGGAUUUAUUCGGUGCAGGAUGGGCCCGCAUCUGAUUAGCUAGUUGGUGAGAUAACAGCCCACCAAGGCGACGAUCAGUAGCCGACCUGAGAGGGUGACCGGCCACAUUGGGACUGAGACACGGCCCAAACUCCUACGGAAGGCAGCAG